rnacentral:lncRNA from 1 species
AUGCGGGCUGUAAACUCUGGGCGGGCGGCCGGGGGAAGGGUUAUCCGCCUGGUUGCGGGGCCGCGUGGGGGAGCUGCAGGCGCGCGGGAGGGCGGAAAACCACCAGUGAAACCGAAUUUCUGGAGCAAGGGCACAGCAGCCCCCCUCUCCGCCUUCACACUCCGCUCGCUGCAUCGCCGCUGCGCUCGACCUCCGCCCCUUGGGGGAAGGGCGGGGGUGCAGAAGGCCUCUCCAGCGGGCACAGGGUCAGCCCGGGUGACCGAGCGGCAGGGACACACUGCGGCACAGGGUGCGCGCAGCACUUCCACACAGCGCUUUCGCUGCCUCAGCAUUCGCUGCUUCUCCGCUCGCCUCCCCCACCUGCCCCCGCAGAUCCCUCGCCUCCACACCCGACAGCUGGGCUGGCCGGACCGACCAUUCUGGGGUCCGCCCUGUGUUCUUCCCUCAAAGAUCCCGAGUCCGGGCUCGUGGGCCCUAGGUCUGCUCCCACCUCUCCUCCCACGCCGCACAAUGCUGCAGACGUCUGGGCCUCCGUUCCCGGAGCCUCUUGGGGGAACUCCACACGAGCUGGGGCCGCGGCAUCCCCAAGACCCCACCCAGGAGACCCUGGCGGGGGCCAGGCCCCGCGCAACCAUUUCCGCCGUCCUCUCCCCCACCCCUCCCUCCCCCUACCGUCGCUCCUGGGCUUUAAAAGCCAGAGGCUGGGUCGGGCCGCAGGCAGAGGCGGCCGCGGGCGCAGGAGGCUGGGCCCGGGAGCUGUCCGAGCGCCGAGCCCCGCCCCCGGAGCCCCCAUCCCUCCCUCCCACCUUCCCUCGUCCCGCCCUCCCCGAGCACCCCUCCCCCCCAGGACCCCCGCCCCCCGCCCGCCGCCGUCGCCGCCGCCGCUCGCUCCGGCUGCAGAACAAUAAAGCAAGCCUCCCAGAGACCCCCGCCGAGGACCCCCGCCCGGCGGCCGAGCCCCCGCGUCCCGCCCCUCGCCGCUCGCUCGGGCUGUGCGCGCCCGGUCGCUGGCCGAGGUGCUGGCUGGGCCGGCGCUGGCCGCGGUGCUGA